rnacentral:RNase_P_RNA from 1 species
CGAGCCCGUUGGACGGCCGCGCUCUCCCUGUUCCAGGGAAGGUGAGGAAAGUCCGGACUCCAUAGGGCAUGAUGCUGGGUAACUCCCAGGCGGGGCAACCCGACGGAAAGUGCAGCAGAGAGCAGACCGCCGAUGGUCGCAGGACACAGGCAAGGGUGAAACGGUGGGGUAAGAGCCCACCAGCGUCCCCGGUGACGGGGACGGCUCGGCAAACCCCAUCAGGAGCAAGGCCAAG